GAUGAACGCUGGCGGCGUGCCUAAUUCAUGCAAGUCGAGCGAACGGACGAGAAGCUUGCUUCUCUGAUGUUAGCGGCGGACGGGUGAGUAACACGUGGAUAAACUACCUAUAAGAAUGGGAUAAAUUCGGGAAACCGGAGCUAAUACCGGAUAAUAUUUUGAAACGCAUGGUUCAAAAGUGAAAGAAGGUCUUGCUGUCACCUAUAGAUGGAUCCGCGCUGCAUUAGCUAGUUGGUAAGGUAACGGCUUACCAAGGCAACGAUGCAUAGCCGACCUGAGAGGGUGAUCGGCCACACUGGAACUGAGACACGGUCCAGACUCCUACGGGAGGCAGCAGUAGGGAAUCUUCCGCAAUGGGCGAAAGCCUGACGGAGCAACGCCGCGUGAGUGAUGAAGGUCUUCGGAUCGUAAAACUCUGUUAUUGGGGAAGAACAUAUGUGUAAGUAACUGUGCACAUCUUGACGGUACCUAAUCAGAAAGCCACGGCUAACUACGUG
rnacentral:rRNA from 1 species